UACGUAGGUGACGAGCGUUAUCCGGAAUUAUUGGGCGUAAAGCGCACGCAGGCGGCUUAUCAAGUCUGACGUGAAAUCUCCCAGCUUAACUGGGAGCGGUCGUUGGAAACUGAUGGGCUUGAGGCAAGGAGAGGGGUGUGGAAUUCCCGGUGUAGUGGUGGAAUGCGUAGAGAUCGGGAGGAACACCGGUGGCGAAGGCGGCAUCCUGGACCGAGAUUGACGCUGAGGCGCGAAAGCCAGGGGAGCAAACGGG
rnacentral:rRNA from 1 species